rnacentral:rRNA from 1 species
GAGCAGUGGGGAAUAUUGGACAAUGGGCGCAAGCCUGAUCCAGCCAUACCGCGUGGGUGAUGAAGGCUUUCGGGUUGUAAAGCUCUUUUGUUAGGGAAAGAAAUCCAGUGCUGGUUGAAUACCUGGUUGGGACCUUGACGGUACCUAACCAGAAUAAGCCCCGGCUAACUUCGUGCCAGCAGCCGCGGUAAUACGUAGGGUGGCAAGCGUUAUCUCGGAAUUAUUGGGCGUAAAGCGUGCGUAGGUGGUUGUCUUAAGUCUGUUGUGAAAGCCCUGGGCUCAACCGUGGGAAGUGUCAUUGGAAACUGGGACGACUUGAGUGUGGUAGAGGGUAGUGGAAUUCCCUGUGUAGCGGUGAAAUGCGUAGAGAUCUGGAGGAACAUCCAGUGGCGAAGGCGAGCUUUCUGGUCUGUACACUGACACUGAGGCGCGAAAGCGUGGGGAGCAAACAGGAUUAGAUACCCUGGUAGUCCACGCCGUAAACGAUGCGUGCUAGGAUGUUAGAGGUGCAAUUUCGGCACGCUUUAGUGCUGCAGUUAACGCAUUAAGCACUCCGCCUGGGGAGUACCGCCGC